rnacentral:rRNA from 1 species
UGGGGAAUAUUGGACAAUGGGCGCAAGCCUGAUCCAGCCAUGCCGCGUGAGUGAUGAAGGCCCUAGGGUUGUAAAGCUCUUUCACCGGUGAAGAUAAUGACGGUAACCGGAGAAGAAGCCCCGGCUAACUUCGUGCCAGCAGCCGCGGUAAUACGAAGGGGGCUAGCGUUGUUCGGAUUUACUGGGCGUAAAGCGCACGUAGGCGGACUAUUAAGUCAGGGGUGAAAUCCCGGGGCUCAACCCCGGAACUGCCUUGGAUACUGAUAGUCUUGAGUUCGAGAGAGGUGAGUGGAAUUCCGAGUGUAGAGGUGAAAUUCGUAGAUAUUCGGGGGAACACCAGUGGCGAAGGCGGCUCACUGGCUCGAUACUGACGCUGAGGUGCGAAAGCGUGGGGAGCAAACAGG